rnacentral:rRNA from 1 species
CCUACGGGGAGCAGCAGUGAGGAAUAUUGGUCAAUGGGCGCGAGCCUGAACCAGCCAAGUAGCGUGCAGGAUGACUGCCCUACGGGUUGUAAACUUCUUUUAUAAAGGAAUAAAGUGAGGUACGUGUGCCUUUUUGUAUGUGCUUUAUGAAUAAGGAUCGGCUAACUCCGUGCCAGCAGCCGCGGUAAUACGGAGGAUCCGAGCGUUAUCCGGAUUUAUUGGGUUUAAAGGGAGCGUAGAUGGGGUGUUAAGUCAGCUGUGAAAGUUUGGGGCUCAACCGUAAAAUUGCAAUUGAUACUGGCGGUCUUGAGUACAGGGGAGGUAGGCGGAAUUCGUGGUGUAGCGGUGAAAUGCUUAGAUAUCACGAAGAACUCCGAUUGCGAAGGCAGCUUACUAAACUGCAACUGACAGUGAUGCUCGAAAGUGUGGGUAUCAAACAGGAUUAGAUACCCCGGUAGUC